rnacentral:misc_RNA from 1 species
CUUUGUUCGCGGAUGUUUUGAUGAGGAUCACAUUUUAUUCUUAAUGAUACUGUGCAUUAAAAGUUCGCAGCGAGACAGCGUGUUAUCCAGAACUUUCACUUCAUUUCCCGCCGCUUCCCGAUCGGAAUGCAGAGACGCAAUCUUAAAAGGCUCUGUUGAAUGUAAUAAACGCUCAUGUCAAUAUCAAAGGAGAGUUUUCAAAUUAAGUAGGAAAAUGUAUAAUGAUAUUGAUAUUAGCUUUAUAUUUUAAGUUAUUGUAACAUUAUUCUCCAUUUGCAAAUUCUUUUUUGAUUUAAUGGUAUUCAUUAAUACGAAAAGAGUAUAGAUUGUUUUGUCAAACUCAUGAGAAAAUUUUAUCCCAGAAAUGUUUUAAUUUGGAACGUCAUUGACUUAUGUUCAGUUUUAUUAUUCUAUGU